GUGGGGAAUAUUGGACAAUGGGCGAAAGCCUGAUCCAGCAAUGCCGCGUGAGUGAUGAAGGCCCUAGGGUUGUAAAGCUCUUUUACCCGGGAUGAUAAUGACAGUACCGGGAGAAUAAGCUCCGGCUAACUUCGUGCCAGCAGCCGCGGUAAUACGAGGGGAGCUAGCGUUGUUCGGAAUUACUGGGCGUAAAGCGCGCGUAGGCGGUUUUUUAAGUCAGAGGUGAAAGCCCGGGGCUCAACCCCGGAAUUGCCUUUGAAACUGGAAAACUAGAAUCUUGGAGAGGUCAGUGGAAUUCCGAGUGUAGAGGUGAAAUUCGUAGAUAUUCGGAAGAACACCAGUGGCGAAGGCGACUGACUGGACAAGUAUUGACGCUGAGGUGCGAAAGCGUGGGGAGCAAACAGGAUUAGAUACCCGGGUAGUCC
rnacentral:rRNA from 1 species